rnacentral:lncRNA from 1 species
CUUUGUAGCGCGUCCAGAGCGCAACUUUGGCAUUGCCACGGCAUGCUGGCACGCUCUGGGGUGCCUUGGACGAGUUUGGCGUGUCCCGGGCACUGGCUUGGAGAUGCCUAGCCAUUUGAAUCCCAUGGGAGCAUCGGUUGGUCAAAGGAGGGAAGGGAAACAGGUGAUGUCAGCCUUGAGCUGAAGCUCAAAUUAGAGAUUUUGGAUUUUCUACUUUGAACCAGAGAGGAGCCACUUGACUGGAGUUAUGCACUGAUGC